UACGAAGGGGGCUAGCGUUGUUCGGAAUUACUGGGCGUAAAGCGCGCGCAGGCGGUCUUCCAAGUCAGUGGUGAAAGCCCGGAGCUCAACUCCGGAACUGCCAUUGAAACUGUAAGACUUGAGGAUGAGAGAGGUGAGUGGAAUUCCCAGUGUAGAGGUGAAAUUCGUAGAUAUUGGGAAGAACACCGGUGGCGAAGGCGGCUCACUGGCUCAUAUCCGACGCUCAGGCGCGACAGCGUGGGGAUCAAACAGG
rnacentral:rRNA from 1 species